AUUUAAACCACCAGGUGCAUGAGAAGGUCUCCUUAACAUGAAAUUACGGCACUAAUGACUUGUCUUCUGUUGAAAGGAUACACUGACUGUUGCCUGCCUGAGUUUAUCCGCAUUAGAAGAACAAUAGCGAGCAGGCGGCAGUGCUCCACUCGUCUCUCUGGAGACCUGCGCUGCGGUCUGGAGCAAGGGGCGCCCAGGGAGGUGGCAGCGGUGACCGUGCUGGAGAAGAGAAGGAGGUGGUGGUGGAGAAGGAGGAGAAGUUACGGGAAUAAUCAACAGACAUUCUGGAAGCGCGUGGGCAUUUCAUGGAUCCGUGCAGUGCUCAGCAAACGCUAAUUGAUGGACACGCCGCGAGUCAGCCGGUCACAGUCUGCGGCUCUGGGAAACUGGACGCGCCAUGAAAGAGGGACCUUCAUGGAUGCCACGGUGCUCGCUCUCCCUCUCACCCCCCCCUCCCCCCCCCCCCCCACACACACACCCCUCAAUCCCCAGUUCCCAUCACGUCUAAAAAUACAGAAAAGCAUGAGAAGUCGCGGCUUUCAUCUGCGAGGAGCGGACAAUACCGGGAGUUUUUUUGCAUGGGAGUAUGGCCGGUUCGCUUAAUUGAAUUACCAUCUUGACAUUCGCUUGUGGGACAGGGAGAGGGGAUCGCGCUGGAGAUGGAGAGGGAUGCUAGCCAAGUCUGCUGACCAUUUCUCCCCUGGUGCCAUUAUAACGGGUUUGGCAAACGGAGCGGACGCAGGAUGCUUAUUUUUCUCUCACCGUCGGGUCAUUCGUGGUCCGUGGACAAGUACAGUUUGUAUUGUGCUUAACGAUUUUUCUCGGUGCUGAAACUUCUCCUUAUCGUAGUUGGGGAGAAAUUCCAGAGGACGUGGAUAAAUAUUUAUACUCAGGUCCAUACACACCCACGUGCAAAUACACACUCCUUUCCCAUAAACACACAUACACACACACAUUCACAAAUAUUUUAUGCACACAGAGAGCACAUAGCACAAAACACACACACCCACACACACACACAUAUGCAGAGUACAAAGGCAGCAUAAAUCAUUUCUCUGAUAGGGCUGAACACUUAUGUCUCAGUAAUGGGCCUCUGACAGUGAGAAAGCAUAACAGCUCUGCUGGCCAUUUCCUCAUUCAGUCGGUCGUACAGCCUGCACACACACAUGCACACACAUACGGACACACAAACACACACACACACACACACACACAGGAGUACAGACGCACCCAUCUCUGUUACACACACACGCACACACACCUAGACACACACACGCACACGCACCAUUCGCUCUCCUUUGUUCCAUUCACGUGCUCACACGUAUGCACAACCCCACACACAUGCACCCAUAUUCACACUCUCUCAUACACACACACACACACACACACACACACACACACACGUGCACACACACACACUGUCCUCUGCUGAAACAGGAGCGGGAGGGACAGGAGGGAAUUAAUCACUGUCCGGCACAUUUCUGCCUGUUGCUUAUCUUUGCCGGCUGAGGGCCAGUCUUUUCCCCUGCAGGUCAUACAGACAAAAUGGAGCUGGAAAGUCCAGCUGCUCGUGGUUUGGGUGGGGGAUUGUUACUGUAACCCGAAUCGAGGGUCCAACAGAGAAGUGCUGGACUUUGGCACUGCAGCCCAAAGACCUAUAUGAAAAGACCAUAUGCUAUGUCUAUAUAUUAGGUGUCUGUGUCACCAUAUAGUGUUGCUUAUAACAUUUAAUAUGCAUGUGUUCUGACAGAGCAUGUAAUUCAAGUCUUCCCAAAAUUGUGUGAAGUACUGGUGCUGCUGCAUCUGUGUAUGUGUAUGUGUGUGUGAGUGUGUAUGUGUAUGUGUAUGUGUGUGUGAGUGUGCGAAAUAUGACACAAAUAAAGCUUUCAUCGGG
ensembl:lncRNA